rnacentral:lncRNA from 1 species
UAGGAUCGUCUCUCCUCUCGAUCUUCAAGAGGUAAGCUUAGAUCCUACCUUUCUUGUAUGUUUUAAACAAGUUUUGAGGGGUUAUGGGGUAGAAAUGCAUGUUUAGGUUAAUGUCGAGUUUAUGGAUAAUGUGUGUUGUAUGAGUUGCUAUAUGUGUUUAUGUUGGGGUUUAGGUUAGUUUGAGACCCCUAUAUGCUUGUUUGCUUGUGUAUGCAUGUUGUAGAAUAGCUAAAUGCAUGUUUGAAUGGUUUAGGAGGCAUAAAUGCAUUGUAGAGGCUGAGUUCUGCCACUUUAGAAGAACUCAGGUUCGGCAGCCGAAGGCACUUUCGGCUGCCGAACGUGCUUGUGGUGGCAUGCUUUGGCUGCCGAACUCUGCCCCCGAAAGUUGGACUUUCGGCUCUGGAUGGGAGUUUCGGCCGCCAAACCUGCCGCCGAACAUGCACGAGUUUCGGACUUGGAGAGAACUUUCGGCCGUCGAAGGUGCCGCCGAAAAUGCAUGACUUUCGGAUCUGGAGGAGGGUUCGGCCGCCGAAGGUGCCGCCAAAGGUGCCCUGUUCAGCCUUCCUUUGCAUGUUUUCUAUGAUUGUUUUAAGGUAUUUUAGGGGGUUUUUGGGGAAUAGUUUAGAGUCAUGUUCAUGUAUAUUUGGUCCCUCAUUUGAGUCCACCUGUGUAGGUUCGGACCCGAGGAACCGAGGACCCCAGCAGUGAGAUAGCUGCUUCAGUGUCUUUUCAGAGCUAGCUUGAGGUGAGUAGAAUGGAUCUUUACGUUUCAAAGCAAAUAAAUUUAGAGCAUGUUCAUGCAUCACGAAUGCCAUGUGAUAUAUUAGGUUGUUUGCACUAGAAUUUCUUGAAUUUGUUGCAUUGCAUAAUAUAAUGUUGAUGUGGAUGGGUGUUGAAUGAUCCAUUAGCCCUCGUAUGAUGACAUGAUAUGAUAUGAUAUGGUAUGGUAUGUAAGACCAGUGAGGCCCAUUCUACGCCCCUGGUACAAUGUAAGAGAAAGACCAGUGAGGCCCAUGCUAUGCCCCUGGCACAUUGAAAUGUUAUGUUAUGUUAUGUAAGAGAAAGACCAGUGAGGCCCAUGCUACGCCCCUGGCAUUAUUGGAAUGUGCAGAGGGUUAUUUGUGACAAGUCCAUCCUUGAUGUGAUUUGUUUGUGAUGUGAUGCAUUUCAUGAAAGCAUGAAUUUUAAUAUAAUGUUUUUACUAUUUUGCUCACUGGGCUCUAGUAGCUCACCCCAUUCCCUUAAUCCCCCAGGUUUGCAGGUACGGGAUAGAUCAGGAAGUCAACAAGAGUAAAGGAGUCAUGUUUUAUGUAAUAGUUAGAUGUGGACAUGUAUUGUAAAAAGUUAUAAUGUGAUGUAAUGUAAAGAAUUGUAUUGAGGAUAGAAUUGUGCUUGGCCCUAGAGUAUGUUAAUCCC